UACCUGUUCUUAUUCCUGAAAUUUGUUGCCUCUGUAAUUCCAACUAUUGAAUAUGAUUAUACGAUGGACUUUGAUCUUGGCAGCGCCAGCAAUUAACAACUUCGCAGAGGGGAUCGUAAAUGCACUCGGUCGUCGCUUGUCAUAGAUUGGAGUCUUGGAGAUGGAAGUUAAGAUGCUACCGUUUGGAGACAAUCUGCUCCGAUUGCAUUACGUUCGACUGCUUGUACAGAUGGCUAAAUUGUUUAUGGUGAAAAUUCUCUUAGGUGUUUGUUGAUAUGUGUUGCGGUGCACAAUUUCCCGUCCAUUGUUUUCUAAUUUUACCCAUGCUGCUCUUGUAUUUUAACUUUUGUCAAUUAAGAACAAAUUAGAAACUCUUGUCGCAUAGUUGCGUGGGCUUGAAGUGAUUGAUGUGAGAUGGACUCAACAAAUUAGAAACUAUUGCAUUCAAUUUUACGACGCCAAGGCGUUUGUAAAUGACUCAUUUCAAGUGGGAAUUCAUAUGGUGCAUUUUUAAUUGUUCAUAUCUAACAUUUUGUAAUCC
rnacentral:sRNA from 1 species